CCAGGGAUACUUUGGUGACCAUUCGUCUGCCACGUCAAGCCUGCUGCUAGUCCUCGCUCUACCCCUCAGCGGGAAUUCUCUCGCACUGAGGAAAGAGCCUCUGGACAGCGCUGUGACAACGCUGUUACAACCUCCAGCAUCUCUGCUCCAAUGGACUGCCAUGGCCAAACAACAGGAGGCUACCUGAAUGCAACAUUUUCUCUCAUGUCAGAGGAGAGAGGGAGAGGGGAGAGGGAGACAGGGAGUUGGAGGGUGAAAAAGUGGUAAGAUUCAACUUGGUUGAGAUAACAAAGAUCCUCAACUGGCAAAGGAGACUUCUCUCCCAAGAGAUGCCACAAGGUGAAAGACAGAGAAAGGAGGAAAAGAGGAGCUGGAGAGCGAGAGUCUAUAGACCAACCCAUCUAGAACCCUCAAAACGGACUAGGCAAGACCUCUCCUCCUUUCUCCACUGGGCAGAAAUCCCUCUUCUCUCCUGAGCCCACAGAUUCGGUCAAAUAACUAUUUUGGGUACAGUGCAGAUAUAUGUGAGUAUAUGUACACGUGUUCAGUGUGUACAUGUGUGUGUGUGCAUGUCUGUGCAGUGUGUGUGUUCAGUGCAGUAUGUGUGAGUGUUUAUAUAUAUAUAUAUAUAUAUAUUUAGCUCCUUUACCCCCCCCCCCCUCCCCUCGUGGACCGGCAGCCCGCCCCGCCUGCCCAGUGUUCAGACUACCUGUUCAGGAACUAGUGGUUGUACAGUAGUCUGCACAUUGGUUAGGCUGGGUGGGGAAGCGCGAGAAUCAGGACACUGAGAGACAGCUAACCAGUGGGCAACAGCAGCCAGAAAGACCAUGGCACCACUCUGGGAAAGCCUGGCACAGUCGUAAAUAUCAGACCCACAGGCUCAACCACAGAAGCAGGCCAUGCCCAACUAAAUGCCUGUCUUAAUACUGUUCCAUGUGUUCUGUUGUGUUGAGUUCCUCCAUUGAUGGGCAAAUGUUGUUUUUUAAAUAUAUAAAGAAAUGCACCCGAUAUAAGAGUGAAGACUGAUUAUGUAGCUUUUUACUAGUAAAACAGUCAAAGAUUCAUAUGGACAUUAUAAUGUUUAAUUCCGGUUUUAGCUAUUGGUGAUGCAUUUGAGUUGAUGACUAACUGUAUGUCCUGAGAAGCUGAAAUAAAGUUUUUUGAAGAGCA